GAUGAACGCUGGCGGCGUGCCUAACACAUGCAAGUCGAGCGCGAUUAGUUGGACUGGAGGCUUCGGCCAAAGGGAAGACUAUGAAAGCGGCGGACGGGUGAGUAACGCGUGAGCAACCUGCCCUGUACAGGGGGAUAGCCACUGGAAACGGUGAUUAAUACCUCAUAAACCCAAAAGAUCGCAUGAUCUAAUGGGCAAAGUCCUAACGGUAGAGGAUGGGCUCGCGUCUGAUUAGCUAGUUGGUGAGGUAAUGGCUCACCAAGGCGACGAUCAGUAGCCGACCUGAGAGGGUGAACGGCCACACUGGAACUGAGACACGGUCCAGACUCCUACGGGAGGCAGCAGUGGGGAAUAUUGCACAAUGGGCGCAAGCCUGAUGCAGCAACGCCGCGUGAGUGAUGAAGGCCUUCGGGUCGUAAAACUCUGUCCUAAGGGAAGAAGAAGUGACGGUACCUUAGGAGGAAGCCCCGGCUAACUACGUGCCAGCAGCCGCGGUAAAAC
rnacentral:rRNA from 1 species